CCUACGGGUGGCAGCAGUGGGGAAUAUUGCGCAAUGGGCGAAAGCCUGACGCAGCGACGCCGCGUGCGGGAUGAAGGUCUUCGGAUCGUAAACCUCUGUCAGCAGGGAAGAACGGUCACUGUGCUAAUCAGCAGUGAAUUGACGGUACCUGCAAAGGAAGCACCGGCUAACGCCGUGCCAGCAGCCGCGGUAAUACGGAGGGUGCGAGCGUUAAUCGGAAUUACUGGGCGGAAAGCGCUCGUAGGCGGUAUGUCAAGUCAAGGGUGAAAUCCCCGCGCUAAACGUGGGAACUGACUUUGAAACUGGCAGACUGGAGUGUGUGAGAGGAUAGUGGAAUUCCAGGUGUAGGAGUGAAAUCCGUAGAUAUCUGGAGGAACAUCAGUGGCGAAGGCGACUAUCUGGCACAUAACUGACGCUGAGGAGCGAAAGCGUGGGUAGCAAACAGGAUUAGAUACCCGAGUAGUC
rnacentral:rRNA from 1 species